rnacentral:rRNA from 1 species
GUCCACGCUGUAAACGUUGGGCACUAGGUGUGGGGGGUAUUGACCCCUUCCGUGCCGUAGCUAACGCGAUAAGUGCCCCGCCUGGGGAGUACGGCCGCAAGGCUAAAACUCAAAGGAAUUGACGGGGGCCCGCACAAGCAGCGGAGCGUGUGGUUUAAUUCGAUGCUACGCGAAGAACCUUACCAGGGUUUGACAUGCUGGUAGUACUGAGCCGAAAGGCAAGGGACCCUUCGGGGAGCCAGCACAGGUGUUGCAUGGCUGUCGU